UCUCUCUCUCUCUCUCUCUCUCUCUCCAAGCCGUACAGCUGUCGAGAAGGCUAGCCACAGAGAGAGAGAGCAGUCAUAGAAAUCGCGUUCAAGUUGUCAGUGGAGGGGAGCGCACUGAAAUCGCGUUCAAGCCCUGGCUCGAGCCGCAGCCAUGACCAAAUCUGACCCCACUCAAGCUCCCGACGACGUCAUCGAAGAAAUCGGAUCUAAGAAAUCUCCAUCCGACGCCGACACCUCAUUCUUCGCUAAGCUGUGAAGCCCCGAUAUAAAAACCCUAGGAUAAAUUCAAGUCCAGCUCAAGGCCACCAUACAUUUUUCUCCUAUUGUCCACUACCUAAGGUGAGUCUUUGUGCUUAAUUUCAUUGGGUUAGUUUCAUGAGGAUUGGUUUGGAAAAUGGUUCUUCACUCUUGCAUAUUUGUGAAGAGUAUCUCAUCACUGUCCAUUUCUAAGCCUAUCAAUUCAAAAUUUGAUUGCUGGUAUGUGUUAUUUUAGAAGCAUCCCUCUAUUUUUUAUUCUAUUGCAUUGCAGCUAUGUCAUCAGUUUUGGGGUUCUUGCUAUAACCGAAUAUCCUUGAGGAAUUGGUGGAGCAUUAAUUAGGGAAAAAGUUGUUUCCAAUGUCCAAAUUUCUCAUUGUUCGAUUGCAGGUAACUCUCUUAAAAUCUCAUUAUAUCGUCUCUUAUAUGCAUAACCCUAUGGAAAAAGAAAAAAAGUUGAGAAGAUGGGGCAUUUAUUGAGUCUAUAAUCUAUAUACAGGUGGUAGGAAAUGGAGAAAAAAAUGGUGUGGACAUCACUGAAUAUGUAAGUCAUUCAGUUCAUUUGUUUGAGAGGUUUUAGAUGUGAAUUUUACUUCUAAUUUUUGGUAGUUUGCUUUGGUUUCUUUUACCCUUAUGAUAUUACCAUUGGUUUUCCUCUUAAAUAUAUCUAUUUGUCUAAAAAUAUAAAAAUAAAAUAGAAUUUGUCCUUAUUACCCAAAAGUAUAGAAAUUAUCAUGAAAUCAACUGAUGAAGAAUGAAAAAAUCUUUGGACACCAUUGAAUGUAAUUCCCAAAGCUAUGGAUGGGAAAGCUAUGGACGCCAUUGAAAUCGAGCGUGAUUAUGUGGGAGCAUUGAUGCCGUAGAGCAGUAGAGGUCUGGCCUUGAAUACUUUUCAAGGGUACGCUUCCACUU